UACGUAGGGUGCGAGCGUUGUCCGGAAUUAUUGGGCGUAAAGAGCUUGUAGGCGGUCUGUCGCGUCUGCUGUGAAAAUCCGGGGCUCAACCCCGGACUUGCAGUGGGUACGGGCAGACUAGAGUGUGGUAGGGGAGACUGGAAUUCCUGGUGUAGCGGUGAAAUGCGCAGAUAUCAGGAAGAACACCCGUGGCGAAGGCGGCUCUCUGGGACGGUA
rnacentral:rRNA from 1 species